GGCAGUUCUCAGGUGAUGCACCCCAGAAAUGGGCCCCCUCCUCUCUGGUUCCAGGGUGCAUCAUCCGAGAACCGCC
rfam:Myotis lucifugus cont2.26357, whole genome shotgun sequence.